rnacentral:lncRNA from 1 species
ACCAGUCCCUUCGUGUAAACUCUUCAGGGGACUAGUUGCAGGAACUAGUCCCCUCGUGUGUGCCGACCUUAACUCUAUCUGUUUAUAAAUUGUUGAGCACAAUGCCUCGGGUAAUUUCUGAGCUUAAACAAUUCUGUUCAAAGGAAGCUCAUGUAAAUAUAAAGGAAAUUUGCAUUGAAGGAAAAACUCAGUCAGCCAUGCAUGACAAUCCAUUUCAACCUGGCUGAAUUAUAAUUAUAGUCAUUAAACCAUUGAAAGAGUUGUUGACUCUGAAAAUUUAAUCUAUGGAUAAGUUUCUACUUUUGUCUCUAGUUACCAUUCUAUCGGAAAUUAAAAUCUGACUAGUGGAAAUUUGCUCAUGCAUGUAGUUUUAAUAUCCUUCAGCUAGCCAUUCUAGAAGAACUGAAGAUAUUAGCAGAAUAACGUGGGAGAGGAUACAACUUACAACUCUGUAAUUCAUAGUCAACUCAGAUGUUUAAUCAUGCAGUGCUCCAAGUCGUGUGCAAACAUCACAACAUUUUGGGGAAAUAAGAAAAAAGAUAACACUACUGAUCAUGAAGAGAUCUGAGGAAACUGCUGAGGAACAGCAAUAUUCCCAGAGACAAAUGUGGACAAGCAAUGGUUGACAGGAUGGACUUAUCCAGUGAAGAUGCACUGAUGAAUUUCGUCAACGCCUUAUAAUUAGGCGAUGUGAAAAUGUGUCUUCCGUGGAAAGCAUGGGGAUUCAGUUUACAUUGACCACCAAGGCAGGUUAACCUCUUUGAUGAGAAAGAAGUGGAAAACACUGUAUUCGAUUCCACUUAUAAUGCAAGAAUGAGCAAGUGCAAGCAGCAAAAAAGGAGAACUGCCAAACCAUUAGGAGUUCCAUGCAGCGGACUGUGCCAUCUGGAAAGGACGCUUAUACUUGAAUACACUAGUUGACUGUGGAAUGAAAUUUUGAGCGAAGUUUGUCAAAAAUUUCCAGAAAUUUUACGGUUGUCCUCCCUAUUGUCUAGUCUGGUCCAGAAAAUUGAAGGAACUGAGAAUUUACCAUAGUACCUAAGUGUUAGAUAAAUGUGCUUUGUGCCAUGGAAGAUUUGUUGACUUUCGUUUUCACUAUAGACAGAACAAUUUUUUUCCUUAUGAUCAGUCGUAUUGCGUGUAGUUUGCCAGUGAAACCGAGCCUGUAACCUGGCUUUUAGAAGCCUGAAGCCCAAAACAUUUGUGCUUGAAGGUACUUAUUCCUGAUUAAAAAGGGGGAAAAAAUUAAAACUGGGAUAAAGUUGAGAAGUUCGGGCGAGACGCGCGGGCGCGGAACGCGCAGAACACCUUUGACACAGGCAUCUUGCGUCACAGGCAUCUUCGACCACGUCAGACAAAUUUGAUUGCACUUUUGACCCGCCUUUGACAGUACGCAAAGGCGCAUCAAAGGAUCACCUUUAGCGCGCAAAUCAAAGUCGUUCACAGGUGAGUAAAAACGGCCUUUACCGCCUUUGAUUUUGGUAGCAAAGGUGUAUUCAAAGAUGUCUUUGAUGCGCGUCAAAGAUCUUCAAAAGCGUGCAAAGGUGGCCUUUACAAAACCCUUGACCACACAUUUGACGCGCGGUAAAGCCGAUUUUUUGUGCCGUGGUGGUCACCCAUCCAAGUACGAACCCCGCCGAACAGGGCUUAACUUUGUUUAGUAUGCGGGUUGUGGUGCUGUCCUUGUGGUACAGUGACUCUACGCUCAACGCAUUUUUUGAUUUCUAAGAUGACAAAAGGUAACAAAGAGAGAGGAAAAAAAUCACUGAUACUGGCUGGGAAAAUAGAGAACGAAAAAAAUGAG